rnacentral:ncRNA from 1 species
GAUCGACACUAGGGGUGCCGCAAGGCUGAGACGAAUGCAAAUUCGGACCCUUUGAACCUGAACCGGUUAAUACCUGCGUAGGGAAGUGGAGAGUUAAGAAU